UAUAAAAUAAAUGAAGGCGGAUUGUUUUACUCAAUUUCUACUGGAUGAUAUUUACAAAGGGAAACAAAAAUGUACCUAUCCAUAUACCUUUAAUUUUAGUCUACAACACGUUAAAAAUAUAGAACGGACGACAGAUAUUUUUUAUGUACUGCUUUUCCACUUGUCAAGGACAAUGUUGAUUAUCAAAGCAAUGGUAACUCACUUAAUUCUAGCAAUGGUGUAUGUAGUAAUUGGUGGCAUUUUUCAUAGUGGCAAGUACCUGGAGUCCCCUAUACUGAAAGUGUUUUUCAAUGUGGGACCAAGAAUGUGCAUGUUAAGAUGCACUAGGUACGCUGGAUGUACUGCUUUCAACUUCGUAAAAAGCCAUUUAUACUGCGAACUGCUUAACGCGACUCAACAGGCCACACCAGUAGAUAAGGAACAUUACAUGUACUCAGAAAUGUCAACAUGGACGAUAGAACCAGACACAUGUUGGCCAAAUCCUUGUUCAUUUGGAGAAACCUGUGUCAUCACGAAUAAAGACCUUCCAGUUUGUGUUAAAUUAGAAACAGCAGAUUACUUAGGUUGUUACAAGGAUGAUAAUAACAGGCACUUGAAACACAAAAAGACAUACAGCGAAAACAUGUCCCUUGCGUUUUGUAAGCAACAUUGCAGUGGAUACCGAUUUGGUGGCUUGCAAGCCAGUACCUAUUGUUUGUGUGGAGAUGUCCUGAUUGAAAGUAGCUAUCCAAAAAUUCAAGAAACAGAAUGCAGCUGGGACUGCCGCGGAGAACCAGCACGGAAAUGUGGUGGAGAAUGGAUUAAUUCCAUUUAUUUAGUUUGAAGAGCCUUAACCAAGACUAUCAUUAUUCCCUCUGAAUUGAAGGACAUGUGUGCCUAUCAGAAGUAUCAGUAUACCAUACGGUUGACUUGUUGACUUAUUUAUAUAUAUAUUGUUAAUUUUGGAUAUUUGUUUAUAUUCUAAAUGUUCAUACCUAUGCAACACAUGUUGGUUCUGUUAGAUGUUGUAAUGUUGCAAGCUUCAAUUUUAUUUCCAUUCAUAAUGCUCAAUUAAGUUUUCUAUUUUUAUCCGUAUUAAUAUAGCUCACCUGUCGCAAAUGGUAACUGCUAACUUUUGCGAUCGGAAUUAUCAAUCGGCAACGAAUAUGUUUGACAAUUUUCCCAUUUCAAACUGCUGGGAUAAUCAAAAUUAAACUCGAUCAUAAUGAAUGAUUGCAAAUUCAAAAUGUUAUCCAAUCAACGUGCUUGCUAUGAAGUAGGACAAAGUAUUCUUACACUAGUGUAAUAAUUUCCGUCUUAUUUAUGACGCCAAUGAGGAAUACAUAUCAUAAAAUAAGUUUUGAGUUGGUCAGCGUAAGAAAGUUUGUUGAUGGACUUUCUCCAACCGUCCAUUCAAAAUAUGUUUUGAACUAUAGCAUGUAUAUGUUUAUAGAAAUGUAAAUAAAAAUUAUAUGUUUAGUACAUAAUUGUUUCGAUAUAAUUGGUCUAUUUUCCAAUAUGGCUCACAACUGCCAACCCUCCCCCUUUUCCUACCCGAUCGGAUUAAUCAUAACCCGAAGUGAGCCAGGUAUGUGACGUGUAAUAUUUGGUAUCUGUAUUUAUUCUUACAAUAUGUGUAGAAUUAUUGAGAUAAGGUAUUAAAAAAUUAAAAGAAUAUGGUGACAAUUGGAAAUUGCUUUUAAAAGCCACGGCUAUGGAAUCAGGAAAACUUGAAGCACGGAGGUAAAAAUGUUACUUUUUGUGCUCUUCAAUUUAGAAAAGUUCCGUAAAAUGUCGCAACUCACUGAAUGGCGUUAUAUUUAAUGAUGAAAACUUCAUUUUGUGAUUACAACUAUAUCAUAUGCGAUAUAUGUAAAGAAACGCUUUAUAGACUUUAAUACUAUUCUGCGCGAACAAAAUUAUAAGCCUGGUAUCUUUGAUAGUUUUUAUUUUUUAUAUAUAUGCUACUUAAUACAAAUCAUUAUAAAAAAGGAAAAUGUGGUGUGACUGCCAAUGAGAAAACUCUCCACCAGAGACCAAAUGACAUAGAAGUUUAUAACUAUGGGUCACAAAACGGCCUUCAACAAUGAGCAUAACCCAUACCGUAUAUAGUCAGCUAUAAAAGGCCCCGAAAUGACAAAUGUUUACCAAUCUAAACGACAAUGCAUGCAUUUGACACAUUCUAUUUUGGGUUUAUGUCUGCCUUAAGACCUCAAUUUUCCAAGAAAUGACGUGUAGUAGUAUACGUUAAUAGGGGAACUACCUAGUGACGCAAAAAAAAAACCCAGACUUUUAUCUAAUGGUGAAUAUACAGUCUUCAACAUGAGAUAAAGGUCUAUACAGCACUAAACGGUCUAAAUAGUCCGACAACUACCAGUGAUCAUGUAAGAUGUAAAAAUUUCAAUAAUAUAAAUGUUCAGAUAUACAAAUUAGAAAAUUAGCAUUAUUCAAUAAAAGAAAAACAAUGACGAGUUCACCUGUAUAGAACAACUUUGUGAAUACUUGGCAAGGUUAACCCAUGUUUUAAAAGUAAGUGUUCCCCUUUUAAUCUUUAUAAACAACAACUGAUAACCAGAAAAAAAUAAAAAAUAAGUUUACUUUAUAUUUCUGAUAUAAUAGAAUACCCCAUACAUACGUAUAAGUAACACAACACACACUUUAUACUAAUGAAUCAAAGAAUGUUUAUUUUCACCUUUUCUCUAUUGCGAAACAAAAAUUCUUGAGGAACAGAAAGUAAUUUUGCUGGGGGUUAAGAGGAGCUUCAAAAAAUUGGUUAAGAUAAGUUUGGUAACCGCAUUUUGAAAUAAUGGAAAUCAAUGAAAAGACAUGGCCAUUUCUGUGAUGCUAAUUGGAUGUUAUUAGUAAUAUGUAUAAACUCUAAAAUUAUCCAUUCUAUAAAAUAAACUGCAAUCAAUUGUGAACAAGCUAACGCCAUUUGGAAAACUUAAUAAUCGCUAGAUUUUAAUCUUAUCUGAAUUGUAAAUUAUUGCAAAACUGUUAUUUAUGUUGCUUCAUAAUAAAUAUGUUUUCCACAUCUUA